ACAGUAUGUUCUUUUUGAGUUGGUCCAUGAACUCCAAAAGGGUCAACUAAUAUUUACUUUCACAGGACAAUGUCCUCCACGGACUUGCUGUUCAAAUACACAACCAGUGUAAUUUAGUUUCAUCAUUAUAUUACGGAUGCUGAGAUGAGAGUGAAAUCACCAGAAAGUAGGUGAUAUAGAGAGUAAUAGUAAGAUAGUCACUGAAAGAGAAUAAUGCUGCUCAGAAGCAUCACUUCUUGCCUCCCAUCUUCAGCAACUAUAGACAACCUGUUCUCAGUGGCCAGGGCAGGCAGCUUGGUUCCUGAUAUCUCUCUGGAUGACACACUGCAAAGCUUCCUAUCCCUGGACUCAAGUGCUGCUCUCGAACAACAUUGUGCAGACAUUCAGCAACACUUGUCUGCUGAACAACUCACUGUUUUCAACCAGGACCUGACGUCUUUAUUGGGAGGGAGCACAAAUGUGGCCUUGGGGGGUGUGGGUGUUGUGGCACUAGCCCUGUCUCUACUCUUUGAUGUCUUAGCCCACAAGGCAAAAAGGCAUGGGGACAGCAAGAAUGCUAUGGACCCUACCAAAAUGAUCUUUGGAAUCAGCAAUUCCUCAAGAAUUGGGUCCCUCAUCAGUGAAUACCUGAAGCUGGUCCCUGAGAUAGCCAAUGAUAUGAACAAGAUGGCGGAGGUGACAGAGCUCUAUGACCAGUACCUGAAGUAUGAGCUGAUUGACCAUUUUGAGAGGAUGACGAACAAGAAACGCAUGGGGUCAGUGGCCAUGAAACAGUGGCUGUGUGGGGCAUCUUUCCACCUGCACAUGAGGAUUCAUGAGAUCCGCUUGGGCUCCGUUCCACGAGGCUCAGCAGAAGCACUGCGUCUCUCCUACAAGACUGCGUUCACAAGCCUGGUCAAGCUCUAUACAGCCCACCUACGCAAAAAUAUCCAGGAGACACCACCGGAGCCAGGAGCCAACAGCAUGCCAGGGACUCCUGGUCAUUGAGCCCCACAAGAACGUCACACACAGAGUUCAACACAGUCCCUGUGAGUCCAAGGUCAUUGAAGACCUCCUGCUGGCCCGGAUCAUUGCUGCUCAGGACAUUGAGCAGAGUAAAUACUUCUUUCUGCAUACUGAAAGUGACUUUGAUGAUCUGAUCAAACAACGGGGAGAUUUUGAGCUGAAGAAAUGAAUGAAAUCAUAUUUAUCUGCAUAAUGCACAGUGGUAGAAAUAACGAUUUUUACUCUUAUAGUUGGCUUAUUACCUGUAAUUAAUGUCUACUCAUGUUACAAACACAAAAAAUAUUUGAUUACCACAUAAUAAAGUAACAAAAAUUGAGAUAAACCAGCAUUCAUAAUGUUCUGUAGUGUGGGACUUCGGCACACAUUCCUAUUUACAGGGGGUCCUGUGUAAAAAGGGGGUGUUGUGUGAGGAGAUUGUGGUGAUUGGAUGUUGGAGGGUUCUGAAGAGGAACGGUAUUAGGAGAGGACCUCUGACAGGUUCAUUGAUAAUGUUGUAGAGUUGUAUAACUGUGGUAUAGUAUUAAUGCGCUGACCAAUCUCAUGCAUCUGUUUCAUACAUGGCUUCUGUUCCUGUGCCUUCCGUAUCACUGGUUAGCUACCUUGAGCUGAUAGCUAUAUCAAUUGUGUGUGUGUGUGUGUGUGUGUGUGUGUGUGUGUGUGUGUGUGUGUGUGUGUGUGUGUGUGUGUGUGUGUCUGUCUGUCUGUCUGUCUGUCUGUCUGUCUGUCUGUCUGUCUGUCUGUC
rnacentral:lncRNA from 1 species